CAAUAGCGUAUAUUAAAGUUGUUGCGGUUAAAAAGCUCGUAGUUGGAUUUCUGCCGAGGACGACCGGUCCGCCCUCUGGGUGUGUAUCUGGUUUGGCCUGGGCAUCUUCUUGGAGAACGUAGCUGCACUUGACUGUGUGGUGCGGUGUCCAGGACUUUUACUUUGAGGAAAUUAGAGUGUUUCAAGCAGGCACACGCCUUGAAUACAUUAGCAUGGAAUAAUAAGAUAGGACCUCGGUUCUAUUUUGUUGGUUUCUAGAGCUGAGGUAAUGAUUAAUAGGGAUAGUUGGGGGCAUUCGUAUUUAACAGUCAGAGGUGAAAUUCUUGGAUUUGUUAGAGACGGACUACUGCGAAAGCAUUUGCCAAGGAUGUUUUCAUUGA
rnacentral:rRNA from 1 species